CUGUAAUGCAAAAACGAAGAUUGCUACUAUUUUUGGCAAUUUGUUCAUGGUGCGAAUGUUACUGAACUCUUGAGCAAGAGAAAGAAACAGUAAUAAUGCUCAUAUUUAUUAUUUAUUUCCGGGU
rnacentral:ribozyme from 16 species